CCCUUAGAUGUUCUGGGCCGCACGCGCGCUACACUGAUGCAUUCAACGAGCCUAUCCUUGACCGACAGGUCCGGGUAAUCUUUGAAUCUGCAUCGUGACGGGGAUAGAUUAUUGCAAUUAUUAAUCUUCAACGAGGAAUGCCUAGUAGGCGCAAGUCAUCAGCUUGCGUCGAUUACGUCCCUGCCCUUUGUACACACCGCCCGUCGCUCCUACCGAUUGAAUGAUCCGAUGAAUAUCAUGGAUUGAGAGUACGAAUGGGUUCGCUCAUUUCUGCUGCUCGAGAAGUGAAGUAAAUCUUAUCAUUUAGAGGAAGGAGAAGUCGCAACA
rnacentral:rRNA from 1 species